AAGCAUUAAGUGAUGCCAAUCAAUUGAUAAUAUUAAAACUCACAGGACCACAUAAGUUUAGUUUCGUGACUCUGAACAUAAUCAACGAUGGCUUCAUUAAUAGAAAUACGAAUUAAGAGUCUAAGCUCAAUAAGAUAAUACUGCACCAUAUAAUAGAAGUUCUUAGUUUACGGAAUUGAAAGAUAAGAUAGCAAGCUAAUCGUUAGCGGAAGCAAAAGACGAAGCAGAACCCUAGCCUCAGCUCAACCCCAUCUGCACCAGCCGAUCAACCUGAAAACAUUUAAAAAUAUUUUGGGCUGAGCACUAGUGUACUCAGUGAACAAGAGUUUACAAGAUAUUUUAUGAAAUAAUUAAAUGGAGCAGUUUAUCCAAUAUCAUAAUCAUAACUCAGAAGGUUUUAAAAAUAGAAAUCCACUUCUAAGUAUGACAAAACUUUUUCUCAUUAAGUGGCGCGCCAUGUGACGUUUGAUUGUUACUCGCUGCUUAUGAUCCCGGACCUCUAGCCACCGACGGAUCGCUUUCUUUUCUCCCAUUUAUCAAUCUCGGGACGCACCCAGUCAGAUCAAUAAUCAUUUCUGUGCUUCGGAACACAUCCAGACAAGCACCCUUAUAACGCCUCUUAGCUUUGUUAGUGCACGAUGGCGAUCAACCCAUCGAGCCACUAACCUUGUGUACACAAUUCUCAUCUAACGUGUUAGGCCAAAUGGGAAUCUCGAUCGAUGCUUAUGCGAGCAUUAAACAAUACAGAACGCACAUAAAAAAAAACAUUUAUAUUGGAUAAACAAGUAACUUUCAUGAAAUAUCAGAGCUUAUAUAACUCAAGAUACAUUUGUAAAAUAAAGCCCACCUCAAAGUGGAGAUUCGAUACUUGGUUCGCUUGAAGCUUCACUGCCCUUGGUCACUCGAACCUACAAGAAAUCUAUUUUUAAAUAGGUCUCGAGGUUUUAUUCUAAUUUCUAGGUAAAGGGAAUUAUUAACUAUUGAUACACUUGCCCAGAUUAAGGAAAUAAAUAUAAUUAAUCAAUAAUAAAAAUAAUAACAAUAAUAAUGAUAAUAAUAAUAAUAAUAAUAAUAAUAAUAAUCCAGAAAUAAAUAACAUAUAUAUAAUAUGAAAUUAAUUAGUGUACAAGACUAGUCCAACAAUUAUUAGGAAUAGUUAGAUCUCUUGAAAAAUAAUUGAGCCAUAGCAUUCAAAUCAAAAUAACCCCCCUUCAAAAAUAAAUCAGCCCAAAGUCUCCAAAGAUUUUCGGCCCAACAGAUUUAAAACCCAUUUAGAGCCCAAUUUGAAAGAAAACCCUAAAAUAAUUAUAAAAAAAAUUCAAUUAAAACAAGAAUGAGGAAUUUCUCUCUCUUCCUUCCAACUCAUCGGCUCUCAAUCUCUCUCACUUCUCACACCCGCCCUCUCUCUCUCUCUCUCUCUCUCUCUCUCUCUCUACGGCGCCUCCUUCCUUCGUCCGUCCGUCUCCCAUCGCAGCAGGCGGUCAUGGAGGACCGCCGCCACUGUUGCUUCGUUCUCGGCUGUGAACGGCAGCGCUUGGCCUUCGGCCACGCCGCCCGGGAUCCUCUCUCCCCCUUCGCGAUUCCAGUCAGCAGCAGUAGCCCAGGAGGGCCGCUACCCCUGCUGCUUCGGCUCCUGUACCGCCUCGCACCACCGCCGUCGUUCAGUCCGUCCCGCCGUCGCUCAGCCACCGAUCGCUGCCGCCUUGUGCCGUCGUCUUCCCCGGUCGGACAUGCAGCCCCAAAAACGAAAAGGACUCUCCCCCCUUCGACUCUCAACAACCCAAACCAAGAUAAGUAAAAAGAUUCAGUUUUGAAAUAACAAUCAAAUCUUUGAGUGUUUUUCUGAUUUUAUUAGAAGCAUGAGUCGUUGUGUGUGUAUGCUUGUUCUUGAUUAAUGAGGUGAAAAGGUCCGAUUAUGACAAGAGAUUUUAGACUAGGAAUUUGCAGAUUGGGUUUAAAGAAAUUUAAGCUACUGUGAGUACUAAGUUUUGGAGGUUCUCUAUUUCUUGUUGCGGUCUAGUUCUUGCUGUGGUUUCAUAUGCAUAAAAAAAAUAAAGAAUUCAAGGAAUCGAAUGGACCUUAAAAGUUGGUGAGGUUGGAGAUGGUCCUGUGUGUGUAGGUUUCUUCUUUUAAUGCUCUGUUGGCUUUCUUUGUCUCCCUGCAGGAGUUCGAAAGAAAAUUUUAAAUAAGUUGUGGAAUUUACAGAAGGGAAUAAGAGCUGCAGAUGUGAAGAUUUACCACCUCAAUGAUUGGAAGAAGGCUGGUGGUUGGGGAGCAAAAAGGAGGAAAGGUUUUUAUGGGAGGGUGAAAGUUGACGUGGAGAUGUAAAAGCAUAGGAAUUGUUAUAUAAAAAUUAAUGUGAAUCGAGCCAUAAACGUGGCUUCCUUUGUUUCACAUAAUUCUAAUAUUAAGUGAUCAUUCUCUUGACCAUUCCAUUCCACACGUUCCAACACAAAAAAAAAAAAUCUGAGUUUCUACUUUGGGCCUAAGCCCAAAUAAAAUCUAAAGAAAGGCUUUCACUUAUGGACCUUUAGCCCAAUAAUAAAAAAAAUCUUUGAAAGAAAAGAAGAAAAAUAAUUAUGAGAUGGGUUUACACUAAAAUCAAAAUAAUUAGUAUAUCUCGUAUAAUUAAGUAAUAAUCACACUUGUUGAUCACCUCAAAAUAAUAUCAUUAAUCUACACUUUAUGAAAUUUAUUUAAUACUGGGCGUGUAUCAAUAUUAUGCUAAUUAAAGGUCCUAUUUCUUAAAAAAAACGGGAUAUCACAUACCUCCCCCCUUAAAAAAAAAUUUCGUCCCCGAAAUUUACAUACUCAUUUUCUAAUUUGGAAUACUAUGUCUUCAUUCUAUCAUUCCACUUCUGUGGCAUUUUCCAUCCUGUGAUGGUCCCACUUUCGUUCAUAGCUAGUGAUUCUUCGUAGCUUUAGCUAUUUUAGAACAACAUAUAUGUUCUAAAACAUCAAUCUCACUAUCAAAUAAUCUCAUAUCAUAAUACUAUAGAUCGUAUGCUAGACACGUAGUUAUACCUGUUAGAUUCUCAUCAUCUUGAGCUUCUUGACACUGGUUUAGGGCAUAAGCCCUAGCUUGGUAUGAUGGCCAUUGAUUGGCUAAGUUUCCCUGCUUCUGAUGUUGCUGGGUUUUUUCGCCGUUCUUCCUUGGGUGUGGGCAUGCCAUUGCAAAGUGCCCAAAUUGUCCGCAGUUGUAACAAACAUUGGACCCCUUCCUGCAUUCACCCGCAUGGGGUUUCUGACACUUCAGACAUAGGGGUUUUUCUCCAAUCAUAGAUUGUUGUUGUGGCUGGUUCUGAUUCCAGUUUUCUGUCCACGGUUUCUUCUCAUUUUCGAAAUCUUUCUCAUUCCAUUUCUGUUUUCCCUUUCCAUUAUUUGGAUAUGACGCGUGUUCAGACUGUGUAGGUGCUUUUUCUUUCUCUUUCGGUAGUAGUGACUCGAUGGUGAGAGCCCUACUUAGUGUUUGUGCAUAAGUGAGACCUCCCUGACUUGCUAGGGAAAUUGAGAUUUCGGGGCGUAACCCGUUUCUGAAUCUCUCUGCUCGUUUUUCGUCAGUGUCCACUAGUUGUGGAGCGUAUCUUGACAAUUGAUUAAAAGCUCGAUCAUACUCUGUGACUGUUCCGUUUCUUUGUUUCAAGUUCCAGAAUUCAUUUUGUUUCUUUUGGCGAUAGCAACCAGGUAUGUAUUUUUCAUAUAACUCUGCCUUAAAGUCGUCCCAAGUGAAAUUCUCCCAUUGCUCAUCGGUCAUAGUUCUUCUUACAGAUUCCCACCAAAAAUCGGCUUCAUCCACGAGUUGAUAGGUGGCGCAUAUUAUCUUUUCCUCAUCUUCACAGCGGAUGUAGUUAAAAAUUCGUUCUAUUGCUCUAAUCCACUUCUCGGCAUCCGUAGGGUCGCCUAAACCAUCAAAUGUAGGUGGCUUCUCCUUGCGGAAUCUUUCCACUGCUGAACGAUUUGGUGCUACUUGUGGUGCAGGCUGCUCCGGGGCAAUUCCUCGUCCUCGUCCUCGUCCACGUCCUCUUGUUGCCAUAUCCAACCUGUAGUUACAGGUUCAUUUGGUUAACAUGACUUAACAAUAUUGUAUGUGAAUCAAUCAUAAAACUAUGCGUGCUACAAGAAAGUAAAUUUGAACAACACGCAUAAAGUUUGAAUAAAUUAAUUAUAUAUAUGCCUCAAGAGAGGACUUCCAUAAUAUUCAAAAUAAUAGUGCAUCUCAAAAGAGUUCUUUUGGUUAAUACUAUUGAACAUCGCCAGAUGUGAACUAAUCAUAAUAACUUGGCGUGUUACGGAAAGAAAAUUUUGAAAAAAAAACACGCAUUAAAGUACGGACAAAAUAUUUAUGUAUCAUAUGCCUCAAAAGAGGACUUUCAUUAUACUCAAUAGGAUAGUGUGUCUCCAAGUGUUUAUUUGAAAUACAUAGGCACAAUAUAUAUGUAUAUAUAUAUCUAGGUAAGGUCUGAGUUAAAUGUAGAAGAAUCUGACCUUACAACCAAAAGGUUAGGUGAUUAUAUCAAGAGAAACGAUAUUCCAACCAAUUAUUACAACUACUAAUCUAAUAACACAGGCGAGCACUUGUUCUCUACUAACUUUUUUGUGAUAGCUUUCUCAAUUUCGUUCUUAGGACCUUCUUUCGAUGUCAAUGGCCUUAGCUUGAUGCUCUUGGUCAGCUGUAGAAAAUCGCCCAUCACUGAUCUUGUGCAUGUGUUGGUUGUCCCUGUUUUUCAUCAUUAAGGUGUCACACAAGUCCCAUCGAUGAUUCGGUAUCUAAUACUUUUCCAUUGCGUGCAUCCGUUUAAAGUGUCGUAAAUUCUCCAAAAGAAAAUUCCUUGAAGAAAUCAUCUGGCUUCUAGAUGUAGUUAUGAAACUUCUCGUCAUAAUGUUCUUGCAAGUACAUUGGAGUGCAAUGCUUAUAGAAUUCCUCGCAUUGUUUGUCCAUCUAGAAAGGAGGACCAAUUACAUUCUAAAAUAAAUAGCGCAAGGCUAAAUCUAACUAAGUUUCUUUCUUCUAUAGGCAUCAUAGGUUCUCUGCGAGCAUUCUAUGUUCUUUAAGAUCUUAUUCUUCAUCGUUCUAGAGUUCUCUAGACAUAAGUCUAGUUCAUAUGGAUCGAAAUUCUCUCAUAACUUUGGCUUAGUGCACCUCUAACUAUGAGGCAAAGCAUACUCUUAUAGGCUCGUAACUUUUGUCGGCUAUUGAGUCAACCUACUUAUAACUGUCAAGUCAAAAAGGUUAUGAAUAACCUAAGUUGACAAAUAUUGCUUAUGCCAUCUGAAACUUUCUCAACGAGAAGUUAAAAUUCAUAACAUAUCUUUAAUCAUAAGUGAUUCGUAGAAUCAAAACAUAAACAACAAAUCUUUUCUCUUUCAAUCAUGCUUAUGUGAGCUCAAGGAGACUCAUCAUAACACAUAAUGUUUUUCUUUUGAAAAUAGAUCAUGUGGACUCGGAGAGUCCCAUCAUGACUACAUACUUUGCUUCUUUUAAGGACUCGCUGGCCCAAAUAUCUUACUCUUCUUUCUUGCAUAAGCAAUAUCUCUUUUCAUAUGUGACAUCAUUAAAGCAUUUCACAAGAUAAUCUUUUGCGCGCACUUCUUCAAAUUAAAUCAUUUAUUUGAAAAUUUUAAAACGUACCUUUGUUGAUCAGGCAGUGAGACGGUGAGCUGAGGGUUACAUAAAUGCUUAGAAGUUUAGAGGUACUAUUCUAGACUCGGAAUAAUUCAACUAGCGGUAGUCAGAGACACGAAAGAAAACUUGUGCUCUGAUACCAUUUGUAACAGCCCGUUCUUAAAAAAAAUAAAAUAUAAUAAAUAAAAGAACUAUUUAGAAUAAAAGAGGUUAAUGAUAUAAAACAAGGUUGUAAUACGAGAAAGAUCCCAAUGAUUCAAAUAGGUUUAUUUCAUAGCUCCUUAGAAAAGAAAAUAGGAAAAUAAAGAGAAAACUUGACUGCACUGAAUAAACUGGCAACUUACCCUUUUAAAUGGGUUAUUCAUAAUUUGAAGAGAUAAAAUGAAAAGCAUUAAGUGAUGCCAAUCAAUUGAUAAUAUUAAAACUCACAGGACCACAUAAGUUUAGUUUCGUGACUCUGAACAUAAUCAACGAUGGCUUCAUUAAUAGAAAUACGAAUUAAGAGUCUAAGCUCAAUAAGAUAAUACUGCACCAUAUAAUAGAAGUUCUUAGUUUACGGAAUUGAAAGAUAAGAUAGCAAGCUAAUCGUUAGCGGAAGCAAAAGACGAAGCAGAACCCUAGCCUCAGCUCAACCCCAUCUGCACCAGCCGAUCAACCUGAAAACAUUUAAAAAUAUUUUGGGCUGAGCACUAGUGUACUCAGUGAACAAGAGUUUACAAGAUAUUUUAUGAAAUAAUUAAAUGGAGCAGUUUAUCCAAUAUCAUAAUCAUAACUCAGAAGGUUUUAAAAAUAGAAAUCCACUUCUAAGUAUGACAAAACUUUUUCUCAUUAAGUGGCGCGCCAUGUGACGUUUGAUUGUUACUCGCUGCUUAUGAUCCCGGACCUCUAGCCACCGACGGAUCGCUUUCUUUUCUCCCAUUUAUCAAUCUCGGGACGCACCCAGUCAGAUCAUAAUCAUAUCUGUGCUUCGGAACACAUCCAGACAAGCACCCUUAUAACGCCUCUUAGCUUUGUUAGUGCACGAUGGCGAUCAACCCAUCGAGCCACUAACCUUGUGUACACAAUCCUCAUCAACGUGUAGGCCAAAUGAGAAUCUCGAUCGAUGCUUAUGCGAGCAUUAAACAAUACAGAACGCACAUAAAAACAUUUAUAUUGGAUAAACAAAUAACUUUCAUGAAAUAUCAGAGCUUAUAUAACUCAAGAUACAUUUGUAAAAUAAAGCCCACCUCAAAAGUGGAGAUUCAAUACUUGCUUGCUAAGCUCCACUGCCCUUGAUCACUCGAACCUACAAGAAAUCUAUUCUUAAAUAGGUCUCGAGGUGCUAUUCUAACUUCUAGAUAAAGGAAUUAUUAACUAUUGAUACACUUGCCCAGAUUAAGGAAUAAACAUAAGUAAUCAAUAAGAAAAAUAAUAACAAAAUAAUGAUAAUAAUAAAAUAAUAAUAAUAAUAAUAUACAGAAAUAAAAAACUAAAUAUAAUAGAAAAUUAAUUAGUGUACAAGACUAGUCCAACAAUUAUUAGGAAUAGUUAGAUCUCUUGAAAAAUAAUUGAGCCAUAGCAUUCAAAUCAAAAUAACCCCCCUUCAAAAAUAAAUCAGCCCAAAGUCUCCAAAGAUUUUCGGCCCAACAGAUUUAAAACCCAUUUAGAGCCCAAUUUGAAAGAAAACCCUAAAAUAAUUAUAAAAAAAAAUUACAAUUAAAACAAGAAUGAGGAAUUUCUCUCUCUUCCUUCCAACUCAUCGGCUCUAAUCUCUCUCACUCUACACCCCCCCUCUCUCUCUCUCUCUCUCUCUCUCUCUUUCUCAAACGGCGCCUUCCUUCCUUCGUCGUCCCGUCUCCCAUCGCAGCAGGCGGUCAUGGAGGACCGCCGCCACUGUUGCUUCGUUCUCGGCUGUGAACGGCAGCGCUUGGCCUUCGGCCACGCCGCCCGGGAUCCUCUCUCCCCCUUCGCGAUUCCAGUCAGCAGCAGUAGCCCAGGAGGGCCGCUACCCCUGCUGCUUCGGCUCCUGUACCGCCUCGCACCACCGCCGUCGUUCAGUCCGUCCCGCCGUCGCUCAGCCACCGAUCGCUGCCGCCUUGUGCCGUCGUCUUCCCCGGUCGGACAUGCAGCCCCAAAAACGAAAAGGACUCUCCCCCCCUUCGACUCUCAACAACCCAAACCAAGAUAAGUAAAAAGAUUCAGUUUUGAAAUAACAAUCAAAUCUUUGAGUGUUUUUCUGAUUUUAUUAGAAGCAUGAGUCGUUGUGUGUGUAUGCUUGUUCUUGAUUAAUGAGGUGAAAAGGUCCGAUUAUGACAAGAGAUUUUAGACUAGGAAUUUGCAGAUUGGGUUUAAAGAAAUUUAAGCUACUGUGAGUACUAAGUUUUGGAGGUUCUCUAUUUCUUGUUGCGGUCUAGUUCUUGCUGUGGUUUCAUAUGCAUAAAAAAAAAAAAGAAUUCAAGGAAUCGAAUGGACCUUAAAAGUUGGUGAGGUUGGAGAUGGUCCUGUGUGUGUAGGUUUCUUCUUUUAAUGCUCUGUUGGCUUUCUUUGUCUCCCUGCAGGAGUUCGAAAGAAAAUUUUAAAUAAGUUGUGGAAUUUACAGAAGGGAAUAAGAGCUGCAGAUGUGAAGAUUUACCACCUCAAUGAUUGGAAGAAGGCUGGUGGUUGGGGAGCAAAAAGGAGGAAAGGUUUUUAUGGGAGGGUGAAAGUUGACGUGGAGAUGUAAAAGCAUAGGAAUUGUUAUAUAAAAAUUAAUGUGAAUCGAGCCAUAAACGUGGCUUCCUUUGUUUCACAUAAUUCUAAUAUUAAGUGAUCAUUCUCUUGACCAUUCCAUUCCACACGUUCCAACACAAAAAAAAAAAAUCUGAGUUUCUACUUUGGGCCUAAGCCCAAAUAAAAUCUAAAGAAAGGCUUUCACUUAUGGACCUUUAGCCCAAUAAUAAAAAAAAUCUUUGAAAGAAAAGAAGAAAAAUAAUUAUGAGAUGGGUUUACACUAAAAUCAAAAUAAUUAGUAUAUCUCGUAUAAUUAAGUAAUAAUCACACUUGUUGAUCA
rnacentral:lncRNA from 1 species